ACGAGUUUCCCCGUCUAACUUUCCCGUCUGUUUAGACGGGUAAGUUAGACGGGAAAGUUCAGACGGGAAACUCGUCUGCGCCCGGAUUCAUAUUAGACGAGUUUCCCGUCUGAGACGAGUUUCCCGUCUCUAAUAUGAAUUCGGCUAUUUGAUCUGGAGAUGAAUUUGGUGUUUUGUUAAGCCUAUUUUUCAAAAAUAAUGAAUAAUGAAAAAUUUUCGUGCGGCAGAUAAAACAACGGCUGGAAUCUGAGGCUAAUAAAACCCAUGCGGGCGGGGACGAGAAACUUGAUAUCAAUUUUCAUUGGCCUAACAACAACAUUGUAAAAAGCAUUUGAAUAUUUUAGGCCAAGUUGAACUAACUGUCGAAAUAUUGCCAUACAGAAAUGUUUAUGGAUGCAUUUAAUUAUUAUAAAACUGUUACACUACAGUACAUUAUUCUCAAUCUCGU